rnacentral:misc_RNA from 1 species
CCGAGUUUACAACUCCCAAACCCAAUGUGAACAUACCUCAAGUUGCUUCGGCGGGAACGCCCCGGCGCGCCCUCCGACCCUCCCGUCCGCGGGGGGAUCGGGGAGCCUAGCCCGGACCCAGGCGCCCGCCGGAGGGUACCUAAACUCUUGUCUUCAGUAUAUUCUUCUGAGUGGCAAACGCAAAAUAAAUCA